AGCUUGAGAAUCCUGGCAUAGCCAGGCCAUGUGGAGUAGCGGGCACGCUGUGAGGGACAAGAGAUUACAGCGAGCUCAGAAGCAGAGCAAGGAAAACAUGAAGAACGGGGAAAGUAGCUGCCGCAUGCCAAUGUGAAACUCCGAGGAGUCUAGCCAUUCUGAUCUGGCCUUCCAGGUCAUUAGGAGGCUCUGCCAUCGUGUGAGGAGGGAAAGCCUGCUGUCUGGAGAGCACACUGGUCUCCAGCGUGGGGAGAGAGAGCACUUUCGGGCUUUGCUGAGGAGGGUCUUCAGAAAAAAGAUGUGCAGCUCGGACAUGGAGGGCAGAAGGUGCUCAGGAAGGAUCUUCUGCAUGCAGGAGCCUCCUCUCUCGAAGGGUGUUCUCCAAUCAUGAGCUUAUUUGCUGUUUACAUGCCCGAGGAGGACUGACCUUAGCAGCUAUGAUGACCUCAUUUAUCACUGUGGAUAAGCACUUGGCCAGGGUCUCAGCCAGCACCCCAGGCCCAGCCUCCUGGUUUACUCAUUUCUGGGGGUGGUGGCAUCUGCCCACUGUCCUGAACUUUCCUCUGCUUGGGUAGGGACAGGGAGCCCCAGCAGCACUUGUUCCAGGAUGACCCAGCAAAUUGCAAGGUGGCAUUUGGCCUUUUCCUCAGCAAUUGCCAGACUUUGUCCCAGGGUGAGGAGGAAGCCAAUGGAAGAGCUGGGGUGAGGAGAUCAAAGACCUUUCCAGAGAUUCAGGCAGGGGCCCAAACCAAGGGCAUUUCCAGGCGGGCACUGGGACCAGCCCCAGGGACACGCCAACGCACUGCUGGGGCCAAGGGGAAAGGUUGGUUUCAAAACCACAUGUGCGGCAGCCUCACCACUGAGUCAUGCUUGUGAGGCCUGCUGGAGACCAAAGACAGGGGCUACAAGCUCAAAACCGCCUGGUUAGUGCUGACUCUAUUGAUUUCCUGGCCUUCCACUUCCAAACCUUCCUUGGAUGGCUAAACUCCUUCUGGAAGACACACCUGUUUUUUAUAUUUGCCUGGUAUACCUCACUUCUUUGAGUGACAGCACCCCAGAGAUCCCCUUCUCCACUCUCACUCUUUGUAGUUAAGGUGAGGUUGGAUUCUCUCCUCUCUGCACCCCUCAACCCCCCUACCCCCAGCACUAAGGACCCAGGCUCAGCCAAUCAGAAUAUCUCUCAUGCCCAUCAUGGGCUCUAGGAUGGGAGCAUGAUGGAAGAGUGGCCAUUGAGGAUCAGUUCCAAGACUUUUGUGAGAAAUGCGGGGGAAGAGACCCUCUCUUUUCCUAUAGGGAUUGCUCACUGUGCAAAUAUGCCAGCCUGGAACAGCUGGGGCCUCCAUGUGCACAGUGGAGAAUCAGAGAAUCAGGUCACCCCACAGGAAAGCAGGACCAUAAUGGGGUACUAGGCAGAGACCUAGCCUCCUGGCCAUGCACCUCUGAGCUGUGUGGACUGAUUCUUUUUUGCUUAAGCAUGCUUUUGUUUUCAUUUCAUUUAUUUAUUUAUUUUCAGACACAGUCUUGCUCUGUUGUCCAGGCUGGACUGCAGUGGUGUGAUUUCAAUCUCAGCUCACUGCAACCUCUGCCUCCCCGGUUCAAGUGAGUCUUCUGCCUCAGCCUCCUGAGUAGCUGAAACUACAGGCAUGUGCCACCACGCCAGGCUAAUUUUUGUAUUUUUAGUAGAGAUAGGGUUUCACCAUAUUGGCCAGGCUGGUCUUGAACUCCUGACCUUGUGAUCCACCCGCCUCAGCCUCCCAAAGUGCUGGGAUUACAGGUGUGAGCCACCGCGCCCGGUGAAGCAUGCUUUCAAGUGGGGUUUCUGUCAAUUGCAAACAGAAGAUUUCUGACUAAUAUUCCCUGGAUAAUAUUUAUUCUACCUUCCUCUCCAUUCUUACUCUCUGCCAUAGCUUAAGCCUCAUCAUCCACUUCCACAUCUCCUACCUUAGAUGAUUUUAGCAGACUACCAACUCAGAAUUACAAUGGAAUCACUGCAGUAGAUGACUAACUGCUAUUUGCAUGCAUGUUUUAUUUGUGAAUGUGACCUUACAAAUCGAUUUUCAUGUCUCACUGAUGAAGGCACCAAGCGUCAGGGAGACAAGGGACUUGUGUGCAGCCAGUACUGCCAACAAGAAGGCCCAAUCAAGAUCCUCCCACAACAAGAGCAGAUUGUGAGCGUGGCAAGCUCUAUGCUGAGCACUGGAAGGACAAAGAGAGAUUGGGCACAGACUUCUCACUGAUCCAGGUGAUGAAGAGCUCACAUCUGAGAGGAUGUGACCAUGGAUGACCCACCAGAAUGUCAUGGGAUCCAGCUACAGCCAAGGAAGCACAGAGCACCGUGGGAGCGAUUUAUUGUGCUUGGGGAUGGGGAAGGGGACAUGGGAGGAGCCAUAUUGAGAAAGUAGCAUGGGUACUUGGCUUCACAGAGUGUGGCAGCUUUCAUCAGGAAGUGAUGGUGGGGGAACAGCGUCUCUGGCGGAGGGAAGCAGCAGGUGCAGAGGUGCAGAGGUGUGAGGAGUCUGUCACAUUCUGGGAAGGGAGUAUGGUUGGGUGACAAUGCAAGACAGAGAAAGCAAGGAGGGAAGGAGGGGCCUAGCCUGAGGAAUAAAGAAUAAUAAAAGCAGGAAAACAAUU
rnacentral:lncRNA from 1 species